rnacentral:rRNA from 1 species
GAAGAAAGCUGGCGGCGUGCCUAAUACAUGCAAGUCGAGCGAGUCUGCCUUGAAGAUCGGAGUGCUUGCACUCUGUGAAACAAGAUACAGGCUAGCGGCGGACGGGUGAGUAACACGUGGGUAACCUGCCCAAGAGAUCGGGAUAACACCUGGAAACAGAUGCUAAUACCGGAUAACAACAGAUGAUGCCUAUCAACUGUUUAAAAGAUGGUUCUGCUAUCACUCUUGGAUGGACCUGCGGUGCAUUAGCUAGUUGGUAGGGUAACGGCCUACCAAGGCGAUGAUGCAUAGCCGAGUUGAGAGACUGAUCGGCCACAUUGGGACUGAGACACGGCCCAAACUCCUACGGGAGGCAGCAGUAGGGAAUCUUCCACAAUGGACGCAAGUCUGAUGGAGCAACGCCGCGUGAGUGAAGAAGGGUUUCGGCUCGUAAAGCUCUGUUGUUGGUGAAGAAGGACAGGGGUAGUAACUGACCUUUGUUUGACGGUAAUCAAUUAGAAAGUCACGGCUAACUAAGUG